UACAGAGGUCCCGAGCGUUAGGCGGAAUUACUGGGCGUAAAGCGCGUGCAGGCGGCCUUGCAAGUCGGACGUGAAAUCCCACGGCUCAACCGUGGAAGUGCAUUCGAAACUGCGAGGCUGGAGUCCUGGAGAGGAAAGUGGAAUACUCGGUGUAGAGGUGAAAUUCGUAGAUAUCGAGUGGAACACCGGUGGCGAAGGCGGCUUUCUGGACAGGUACUGACGCUGAGACGCGAAAGCGUGGGGAGCAAACAGG
rnacentral:rRNA from 1 species